ACAGUUUGACUCUAGCUGAGAACUUAGCUAUCCCUGAAUCAAUAUACAUGUAAGCUCAAGCUACCCCGCAUCUUCUCACGCCCUAAAAGGCUAGCCUGUUAUAUCAAAUUUUUUUUAUACCUAAAAGCGCGCCACAGUAAGCAACUCUAAUAAUCUGCAAAAGCAAGAAUUGGAUAUCAGGUUAAGAGUUGGCAAAAUUCGUGCCAGCUGCCGCGGUUAGACGAUAAACUCAAGUUAACUAAAACACGACUAAAUAUAGGAUGAACUAAACAGUCUUCAAGGUCUAAUUUAUAACCUUAGAGCCCUAUUCAUCAACCACUGUGAAGGUAUGGCCCAAAACACGGAUUAGAUACCCGUCUAUUCAUAUAGUAAAUCAAGUCGAGAAAUACGAACUACAGUUUAAAACUCAAAGAUUUUGGCGGUGUCUUAUCAAACCAGGGGAACCUGUCUCAUAACUCGAUAAUCCACGAAUGCCUUACCUCUCCUAGACCAACCAGUUUGUGUACUGCCGUCGUAAGCACACCUCUAAAAGUAACUAGUAUGCAAUAAUGAUAAAUCCCAUUUACGUCAGGUCAAAGUGCAGCUCAUGGGGAGGUGAUGAUGGGUUACACCCUAAAUAAAGAUACGGAAUAUGUUUUCAAAUAACCUAUAAAGGUGGACUUGGAUGUAAUAAUGAUCUUAAAUUAUAAUGAACAUGAAUCUAAGACAUGCACACAUCGCCCGUCACUCUCGCCUAAAGGCGAGAUAAGUCGUAACAAAGUAGGUGCAACGGAAGUUGUACCUGU
rnacentral:ncRNA from 1 species